rnacentral:rRNA from 1 species
AGAGUUUGAUUCUGGCUCAGAAUGAACGCUGGCGGCGUGCCUAACACAUGCAAGUCGCACGAGAAAGGCUGGGUUUCGGCUUGGCCGAGUAAAGUGGCGCACGGGUGAGUAACGCGUGGGUGACCUACCCUCGAAUCUGGGAUAACCUCGCGAAAGCGGGGCUAAUACCGGAUACGUCCCUUCGGGGAGAAAGCCGGCCUCUCGAAGAAGCUGGUGUUCGGGGAUGGGCCCGCGUCCUAUCAGCUAGUUGGUAGGGUAACGGCCUACCAAGGCGACGACGGGUAGCUGGUCUGAGAGGAUGAUCAGCCACACUGGCACUGGAACACGGGCCAGACUCCUACGGGAGGCAGCAGUGAGGAAUUUUGCGCAAUGGGAGCAAUCCUGACGCAGCAACGCCGCGUGGGUGAAGAAGGCCUUCGGGUCGUAAAGCCCUGUCAGGAGGGAAGAACCUCGCUGGGGCGAAUAGCCUUGGCGACUGACGGUACCUCCAGAGGAAGCACCGGCUAACUCCGUGCCAGCAGCCGCGGUAAUACGGAGGGUGCGAGCGUUAUUCGGAAUUACUGGGCGUAAAGCGCGUGUAGGCGGCAGGGCAAGUCUGGUGUGAAAGCCCGGGGCUCAACCCCGGAAGUGCAUUGGAAACUGCUCUGCUUGAGUACCGGAGAGGAAGGGGGAAUUCCCGGUGUAGCGGUGAAAUGCGUAGAUAUCGGGAGGAAUACCAGUGGCGAAGGCGCCCUUCUGGACGGUUACUGACGCUGAGACGCGAAAGCGUGGGGAGCAAACAGGAUUAAAUACCCCGGUAGUCCACGCCCUAAACGAUGGGCACUAGGUGUAGCGGGAAUGACCCC